rnacentral:rRNA from 2 species
AGCGGCGGACGGGUGAGUAACACGUGGGCAACCUGCCUGUAAGACUGGGAUAACUUCGGGAAACCGAAGCUAAUACCGGAUAGGAUCUUCUCCUUCAUGGGAGAUGAUUGAAAGAUGGUUUCGGCUAUCACUUACAGAUGGGCCCGCGGUGCAUUAGCUAGUUGGUGAGGUAACGGCUCACCAAGGCAACGAUGCAUAGCCGACCUGAGAGGGUGAUCGGCCACACUGGGACUGAGACACGGCCCAGACUCCUACGGGAGGCAGCAGUAGGGAAUCUUCCGCAAUGGACGAAAGUCUGACGGAGCAACGCCGCGUGAGUGAUGAAGGCUUUCGGGUCGUAAAACUCUGUUGUUAGGGAAGAACAAGUACAAGAGUAACUGCUCGUACCUUGACGGUACCUAACCAGAAAGCCACGGCUAACUACGUGCCACCACCCGCGGUAAUACGUAGGUGGCAAGCGUUAUCCGGAAUUAUUGGGCGUAAAGCGCGCGCAAGCGGUUUCUUAUGUCUCAUGUGUAAGCCCACGCCUCAACCGUGGAGAGGGAUUGUAAACUGGGGAACUUGAGUGCAGAAGAGAGAGGCUGAGGUCUUCGUGUAUCGGUGAAAUGCGUGUAGAUCUGUAGGAACACACCUGCCGCAUGCGGCGGCUUUGAUCUCUAGGUGAUACUGACGCUGGUAGAUCGUGUGAGCACACAGCAUGAUCAUACUCUGCUGGACAACAACGCCGUAUACGAUGGGGUGUGUUGCAAGAUUGCUGCCCACUUUAUGGUGCCGCGUGGAAUCAGCAUUCCUCCUGCGGAGUGAAGUCGCAGAUUGAUAUGACCCCGAAUGGAUGAGCGCUGCGCUUCAAUGCGAGAUUAAGAGUACUUCUGUCCGACGCUUACAGCAUAUCAUUGCGGAUAUGCUCGCCACUACUAUACGAGCUGCCGUCUAGUACGACGUGCAUUGAGGUAGUACCGGUC